UGCUGCUACAAUGUUUUAAUAACAAUGAUACACAAAGACUUGUUUUGUUUAGCAUGCACCAUAUUUUUGCAUUGUAGACAAAGUCUUGAUUCUCUUAGUCCAAGACAAAGUCGCAAUUGUCUCCGUUUGAGACAAAAUCUCAGGACAAAAAAUAUGUAUUUGAAAUGCCCCAAACUACAGAGGAGUAAGGAAUCAGAUUAGCAUCAACUUCUGCUUCUUGCUACAAUGAAAACAAAGAUAGGGCAAGUAUGUAUUUUCUAACUGGAGGGACACAUUUAGGAAAGAUUUUGUACCUCAUCAUUCCCUAAUGAUGAAAUCAGAAAAAUGAAAAUAUUCUUCUCCUUCUCUGCACACACACCCUACCCCAGGCAGACCUGUUCUUACUGUGAUGAGAUUUGUUUUCCUACAGCAGAGUUUCCCUUAGAGAGCUCACAGGCAUGGAGAGCAAUUUUGUUUACCACCCCCGGGUGCAAAACUCGUUAACUAAUGUUUAUUUUUGUGUUUUCAGCUUCCAGCAAUGGGGCAGCUUGAUGGAUAGUGAAGAUGGUGGUGGUGGGGAGAAUGGUAAGGAAAAUUCAGGAGCUGGUUUUACAUCUUUCAGUUGUGCAUGCUCAUAGGCAAAAUGGCUAACAGCCUUUUAGCUAUACCAAAAGAAGAAACCCCAGGCCUUGGCAAUGGUGACCCUUCUACCUUGGUUUUGGUUUGUUUUUUUCAGGACGGUGGGAAACAAAGCACAGCCAGCCCCCUGACUUUUUGCAAGUUAUAAAUGCUGUAUGAAAUUCUAGUUUCAACACCAGAGAAUGUUUUCUCAUGUUGUUCAGAGUGACUCCAGAUGCUGAUGUACUUAGUUACACAGCACAAGUAACCCAACUGGAAUGAAAAAGCAAGAGCAUUUUAACGUGUUCAUUGCUCAGAGCACUUUGCACUUCAAGCUUUCAGUCGGUAAUUCCCUGAGGAGUCUUUUCAGAGCAUAGGUUUUGCAAGCACACAAUGCUAGUGUGACUUCAUCACUACUCAAAGUCAGUUCAGAUCUCUGCUUGAGCAUCCAUCACACCUUGCCUGAAGCAGGAAGCUCCUGCAAGUAGCCUGUUGCACAAAUGGGCUUUAGCAAUGAUAAAAUAUUUUGCCCAAGGACUGGAUUUGUUGACCAGUUUUCCUCCCAGGGCUUCAAGCCACGCUGGCCUGUGCUAUUAACUGUCCCUAGGACUAGAGCAGAGGCUAAACUAAGCCAGUUUUGCAGGGCAAAGAAGGAGAUAGCAUGGUGGACUGAAGGCAGGCUUAAUAUGAUGUGAUUUAACCUUCAUGCUGACUAAAUUGGAAGCUGAAUGUGAGGGGACCUCAUGCAUUACUAACUUGGCCUAAUAUGGUGAACAGGAUAUAGUCUCAUUUCUGUCUUGUGCAACUCUUCUGAAGUCAGCAGCUACUUCAGGAACACGGGUGUCCCAGCCUGUUUUCUCAUUCUGAGAGUGUACGCCUUUUAACGUGCACACUCAGUGACCUGAAAAAUGUAAAUGGCCUUUCACUUUAUUACAAGCUCUUUUGCUUAAUUCUUCUUAGCUUUUUCACAAGAGGAUGGGAGUAACAGUACCUGCUCAGAGAGGGCUGAGCCAAUACUUUGAGUAUUCCACUGUUCUUGUGUUCUUGCUGUUUGCUAAAUGUUCCUGAAAUGAGCAUUACUGAAACCUCUUACAUGCACAGUUUUAUUACUCUCAUGUACAAGAAUGUUAUUUGCAAAAUAAACACUAUUACUUGUACUUUUUAUAAGUAUUUUAUUAUGGUUUAGAGGAAGCCAAUGCAGUCAUUUGACAGUUUACUGAUAUUCUGUAUUUAAUAAGAAAUUUCAGUCUCUGCCAAACAAUCAGUUCUUAAGUCAGUGUCAAUUUGUAGCACAGAAGAAGCAAGAACAUUUAAAUAUCUUAUAAAACAAGAGAAUAUGGAUAUGGGUUUGGUUUUGGUUUUAUUAGGAUUAUCAGCUUGUUAGUUUACUUUGUAUGGACAUCAACUUACUUAGAAACACUUUCAAGAAUUAGAGAUGACAUGGUUUUGAAGAGAGAAAAAAUGAUCCUUUAGGUUUCCAUGUUUUAUCAGCUCAGUGUUUUCAGGUCAUGUAUACGUCGAAUAAUUCCUAUCUCACUCAACAAAACCUAGUUCAAUCCAAAAUGUGACAUAACAAAAGCAACAAGAAGAAAUGACCCAUUUUUAGUUUAUUUAUCAAGAAGAUAAAACAAUUCAAUGUUCAAAAGUUCAAUGCAGUAGCUGGUUGUGUAGGAUGGGGAUUCCUAUGAUUUCUAAGGGGCCAAUGCCAGAAAUAUGUAAGUUCCUAAUCAUAUCGACACAAAUAGUCUGACUGGAGUAAGUGAAAAUGGGCUUUAAGAUCCCAGCAUGUGAAUGAGUGUUCUCUGGAUUAAAAACUAUUACAUUACACUCUCAUGUUACAACGUGAGUACUUUAUCACACUGGACACUUAACCCAUACCUGCUUUUAAAAAUUAGAAUCUAUUAUGCUUUUUGAUGCUGGUAGCCAAAGCCUGCCUUUUACAGUUUCAAAGCAGUGCUCAGAGUUUCCUAGACAGCUGCAUGAGUACCUCCCACACAAAUUCUAUUCUAUUUGAGACAGACAGACAAGCACUUUUAGUCCACCACAGUUGUGAGAAAAGCCCAGUCUGACAGACAUGUUUGAAACACAGAGAGUUUGCACGCAGAUGAACACAAACACAGCAGUUUUGCUCACCA